CUCCUUAAUCGGAGAGUUCCCUUCGGGGACAUUGGUGACAGGUGGUGCAUGGUUGUCGUCAGCUCGUGUCGUGAGAUGUUGGGUUAAGUCCCGCAACGAGCGCAACCCUUGUCUUUAGUUGCCAUCAUUAAGUUGGGCACUCUAGAGAGACUGCCAGGGAUAACCUGGAGGAAGGUGGGGAUGACGUCAAAUCAUCAUGCCCCUUAUGCUUAGGGCUACACACGUGCUACAAUGGGUAGUACAGAGGGUUGCCAAGCCGUAAGGUGGAGCUAAUCCCUUAAAGCUACUCUCAGUUCGGAUUGUAGGCUGAAACUCGCCUACAUGAAGCUGGAGUUACUAGUAAUCGCAGAUCAGAAUGCUGCGGUGAAUGCGUUCCCGGGUCUUGUACACACCGCCCGUCACACCACGGGAGUUGGAGACGCCCGAAGCCGAUUAUCUAACCUUUUGGAAGAAGUCGUCGAAGGUGGAAUCAAUAACUGGGGUGAAGUCGUAACAAGGUAGCCGUAUCGGAA
rnacentral:rRNA from 1 species